AUUGAACGCUGGCGGCAUGCUUUACACAUGCAAGUCGAACGGUAACAGGCCGCAAGGUGCUGACGAGUGGCGAACGGGUGAGUAAUGCAUCGGAACGUGCCCAGUCGUGGGGGAUAACGCAGCGAAAGCUGUGCUAAUACCGCAUACGAUCUGUGGAUGAAAGCGGGGGACCUUCGGGCCUCGCGCGAUUGGAGCGGCCGAUGUCAGCUUAGGUAGUUGGUGGGGUAAAGGCUCACCAAGCCAACGAUCUGUAGCUGGUCUGAGAGGACGACCAACCACACUGGGACUGAGACACGGCCCAGACUCCUACGGGAGGCAGCAGUGGGGAAUUUUGGACAAUGGGCGCAAGCCUGAUCCAGCAAUGCCGCGUGCAGGAAGAAGGCCUUCGGGUUGUAAACUGCUUUUGUACGGAGCGAAAAGGCUCCCUCUAAUACAGGGGGCUCAUGACGGUACCGUAAGAAUAAGCACCGGCUAACUACGUGCCAGCCGCCGCCGUAAAAC
rnacentral:rRNA from 1 species